UCCUCCUCCAUCUUUUCCUCCUCCUCCUCCUCCUCCUCCUCCUCCUCCUCCUCCUCCUCCUCCUCCUCCUCCAUCUCCGCCUCAUCCUCCCCUUCGGAAGUUCCCAGGCGCCGUGGACAACUUUCCCCACUCAGUUCGCGUCUUUCUUUCAAGGGAGCGGCAAGCCAUCGGGGCAAGACGUGACUUUCCACCUGCUCUUCCACCCACCUCCACCAGGCUCCACCCGCCUCGCCCCGCCCUGCCCCACAGAAAAGACCCGCCCAGCCACGCAGCCAGCCACGCAGAGGUGUUAAUUUGAGUCCUGUUUCCUUAUCUGAGUUUAUCUAAGUUUGUGACCCUGUUCUUUCAACCUCUUCUCAACUUAAGUCUCUCUCUCUCUCUCUCUCUCUCUCUCUCUCUCUCUCUCUCUCUCUCUCUCUCUCUCUCUCUCUCUCUCUCUCUCAUAGGUGGAGCGCAAGCACCAGCACUCAAGGUAAGUACUUUGGCGGGAACUUUGUGGGAAAAACAUUUACGAAUGUGUAUCUUCAAGUGAAAAUAAAGAAAUAUUCCAC